AGAUUCCGAGGAGGAAGAGGAGGAAGUUAGCGACAGCAGCCGCAGCAGCAGCAGCGAGGACAGCAAAGACUACGGUGGCAGCCAUUCGUUGCAGAUUGAUGGCGCCGACAUCGACGAUACAUCAUGAUUUGCAUAGCAAACUGAGUUGAGGCACGGUUCAGUAAGUGUUCAUUGACAAGACAAUAUGUCCGGAUCUCAGCGUAGUGGGGUACGUAAUCCCUUUCAGGACCUGACGAACAACGACAGUUCAGGUCAAAAAACAGAUCCAAAAGAACUAAAGAGACAGAGAGAAAGGGAGAGGUAUGCACUAAACAGGGAUGCAAUAUUGAAAAAAAGAAAGGAGGCAAGGGAUAGUAAGAAAGCUAUGUCCGCGGUUUUAAAUGAAACCAACACUCCAUCUAAGCCACCCGUGGCCAUGUCGCCUGGUUACUCAAUUUUCUCUGUUCUUUAUCAUACAUUUCAUUAAUCACAGCUAAACUCAUGUUAAUUAAAAGUCCCUUUGGACAGGUUUUGACACUAUGGAUAUGCCCAGUGCGCAGUCUGCUAUCACCCAGCAACGACACGCACCAGUUGUGGAAGGUCAUGUGUUCUCCUACAUCCAAACAUACUACCGGCUCUUGUGUGCUAGCAACUGGCUUUGGUAAUACAAUUUUGAUGCAGGCAUACCUGUUGAUGUGGUAAUGAGUGAUCAGACUCCACUUCAUGUUCCAUGUUCACUAACAACACCAGAUACUGUCGUCUCUAACAAUGAAAAUGUUAAUAAUAACAACUCUGCCAACGAGUCGUCCCAACUGACUGUGUUACGACCGCCACUUCAAGCCUACAGAUGCAACAGUUCAUAUGGUAGUCAUUUCUGGCUCAUAUUAACUAUCAUACAUGAUUCACACAUACAUAAUUGAUUUUUUGAACUCAAACACACCAAAUGGCUUGCCCCCGCAUGUUUUGAAAUUAAAGGUCAACUGUCCGGUCAUUCUGCUCCGGAACCUCGACCCUCAUAAUGGUCUAUGCAAUGGGACACGGCUUAUGAUCAGAGCCUUUCAGGAUAAUGCAAUCGAUGCGGAGAUUGUUGGUGGUCAGCAUGCUGGAAAGAGGGUGUUUAUACCUAGGAUCCCUAUGUCACCCUCAGAGGACAUCUCACUUCCUUUCAAACUUAAGAGAAAACAGUUCCCCAUCCGCCUGAGUUUUGCCAUGACAAUUAACAAGGCACAGGGUCAGACCAUCCCAAAUGUCGGCAUUUACCUUCCCGAGCCAGUAUUCUCACAUGGGCAGCUAUAUGUUGCAUUGUCAAGAGGAGUGUCGAGAGAUACGACACGGAUAUUGGCCAAGCCAAACAAGGAUGUUGAUAAAUCCGGGAAAAGCACCAAGAACAUUGUCUACAGAGAUGUUUUGGAGAGAUGAGGCAGGUUUGACAAAUAUUCUUGUUCAGUAGAAUUGAGGCUUUGCUGUGGUUACUGGUCUCCACAUGUGCAACUUGUAAACCUAUUUGGAAGAGAAGAAGAUGGUGGAAUGAUGCUACGUCAUGGUGUCAGAUCAUACAUAAUAAGGAACGCUUUGUGCUGUAUCCUGUACUAUCUAAAUUUUUCGUUCGAAAUUAUGUUCUGUUAAACAUGUUCUUGAAUGCCUAAGUGAGAUGCUCUAUGAUAUAUUUGUAACGAAAACUGCAAAAGGCUGAGAUUCCUGGAAUAUAUUGAAGUUAAAAGGCGUUAUUACUACUAUGUUGCCAAUAGGACGUUCCUGGAUCUAUAGCACAC